rnacentral:misc_RNA from 1 species
AAGUCGUAACAAGGUUUCCGUAGGUGAACCUGCGGAAGGAUCAUUAACGAGUUUUGAAACGGGUUGUUGCUGGCCUUCCGAGGCAUGUGCACGCCCUGCUCAUCCACUCUACACCUGUGCACUUACUGUAGGUUGGCGUGGGUUUCUAGCCUCCGGGCUGGGAGCAUUCUGCCGGCCUAUGUACACUACAAACUCUAAAGUAUCAGAAUGUAAACGCGUCUAACGCAUCUUAAUACAACUUUCAGCAACGGAUCUCUUGGCUCUC